rnacentral:tRNA from 1 species
CAGGGAGACAACAAAAUGUUUAAUAUUAUUAUUUUGUCACCUUAGGUCGAUCGGUAUCUCACGUUCUUAAUUUGUUAAGGAUUUCAUUUCCUAAGUUUUUCUAGGUCACACCCAUUAUUUUUCCUGGGCCAUUAGCUCAGGUGGUUAGAGCGCACCCCUGAUAAGGGUGAGGUCCCUGGUUCAAGUCCAGGAUGGCCCAUAUCUCUAUGUUGGGGGUAUAGCUCAGUUGGUAGAGCGCCUGCUUUGCAAGCAGGAUGUCAGCGGUUCGAGUCCGCUUACCUCCACUGAUUACCACCUCUUCCAUAACUGGUAGAAAGGAAAUGUUUUGAGUUGUGAUUAUUAUUCUGAACGAAUCUAGCUUCCUAAUGAAAUCAUUAAGAUGCUGGACUCAUUGAAUUAAUUUCAUUGUUUUCAGAGAACCUUGACAACUGCAUAGAUUUUUUUAAAGACAAUAAGCAUCUUUAAUGAUGCAGAUUUAUUAUUUGUGCGAAUGCAUUAAUAACAAUUCUAUUAAGCUGAUGCUUCAUUUUUGAAGUUAUU